GACAGAUCCUUUCCCAACCGGGAGACUCCAUCGCAUCCCUGGAGGGGGUACAGAAGUUUUCUCAAAUUCCUAUUGCGAGCUAAUUGGACCGAUUUGUAGAUACUGUCAAUUAUAUUACAUACCGAUGGGAAGUCUGCAAUCCUGAACAAGCCCUCCUGCAAGAGGUAUCCCUCUGAAGAAGGUCAGAGGAAAGAAGAUGAAAAAAUUUAUAAAGACUUUAGAUAAUGGAUAACACAAGAAAUUAUGUUAAAUGUAUAUAUGUGAUUGAUCAUGCGUGAAAAAGGUUACCAACAGAUGGAAAAAUGAUUAGCAAAGGGUACUCUGUGAUAAUGCUUAAACAUUUCUUGCUACAUGCUAUUGCCUGACGUUUAUUAGAUGGGUGACAUUACAGGAUAAACUUUAUCUUUGGGCAGAAAUCAAAGCGGGAGUGUUGAAGAGGCCAACAAACUGUCCAACUUCUAACUUCUGGGUCUCGUUCUUAUCAUCUGAUACUGUCUUCCAUCUUAGAUCUAAGUCAAAAGUAGUGCAAGGGGUUAGGGACAGGAUAGUGGGAGAACUGGCUAGUUCAUGAAUGGCUGAAGGAAACCUGUAAAAGGAAGCCCAAUAUAUUCUUGUGGGGGCAAAAACUAUU